rnacentral:rRNA from 1 species
GAUGAACGCUGGCGGCGUGCCUAAUACAUGCAAGUCGAGCGAACCACGUUCGGUGGUGAGCGGCGAACGGGUGCGUAACGCGUGGGAAUCUGCCCUUGGGUUCGGAAUAACAGUUAGAAAUGACUGCUAAUACCGGAUGAUGUCUUCGGACCAAAGAUUUAUCGCCCAGGGAUGAGCCCGCGUAGGAUUAGGUAGUUGGUGGGGUAAUGGCCCACCAAGCCGACGAUCCUUAGCUGGUCUGAGAGGAUGAUCAGCCACACUGGGACUGAGACACGGCCCAGACUCCUACGGGAGGCAGCAGUGGGGAAUAUUGGACAAUGGGCGAAAGCCUGAUCCAGCAAUGCCGCGUGAGUGAUGAAGGCCUUAGGGUUGUAAAGCUCUUUUACCAGGGAUGAUAAUGACAGUACCUGGAGAAUAAGCUCCGGCUAACUCCGUG